CGCCUAGAUCUUGCUCCCUGAACUUCAGAAAUCUUUUAAGCAGAAGAUGGGCUAUCCUGAUGCCAUUCAGUGGGAGCAAAGCAUCCUGCAGCCUCAGGAUUUGUGGUCAGAGGGAGAAUGGGUUCCCCUUCGUGGUGGACUGGCUGGUCAGAUGGGGUUUGGGUCGGCGUUAAUUCUCGAAGUGGGACAGUCUCUUCCAAUUACUAAUAGGCUCUCCUAGUUCAUGUAUGGAUGAGGUAACAGGCUGGUGUUUCCAGCCAAUUACAUCCAGGUUACAGGAUUUUAUUAUGCACCAGAGGAACCAUUUUCUUUCAAUAAUGCAUAAACCUAUUUGACUGUAAUAUCAGAAGGCGUGAUCCCUAGUACUCACUGCACAAGGCCUGGGCAUAAGUGCUAUCUUUGUAUUCUCCCAGGUCAAGGACUGCUCCUUUCUGGUGUCCUUUAGUUCUUUCUGGUAGAAGCCUCUCCAAAGGGGGUGGGGCCAUGAUUAUGCCCUCCCCCCUACACCAGUCUGCAGGUGCCCACUCCACCUUCUUAAGGGAUGAUACUGUGAGUGCACUUCCCCUGCAGAUCUAGGAGCUGUGACAUGCAAUCCCUCCUAGUACUUAGCAUAGGUCAGGGCAGCUUUGCAGAACCUCUCUGCAGAACAGUUAGCAACUGCCAAAAUUGAGCACUUAAGUUCUCUGUGUUGCUAUCAAACCAUCUUUUAAAUGGGAAUAAUAAUGUCCUUACCUCACAGGAAUACCGAGAGGCAAAGUCACUUAAAAGUUGAAAAGACAUUGAAAUCUCGGCUGUAACAUCCUAUAAAAGUGCAACAAAAAUACUUACUAUUGCAACACUUCUUCACUGAAAUGAUUCUUCCCAAAAUUGCAAGGUCUUCUUCCCCUUUUUCCUUCUUAAAGGAUGCAUACUAAGAACCUAUCAAGACUAGGAAAAUGAGGUAUGCCAUUUGCUGAUGUGAUGCACUUUUAGUUCUUCAGCUGUGGGUUAUAUUGCAGAUAAAAUACAGUUUCAUAGUCCUAACCUGAUCUCCAUUUCUACUUAAGAUCUUUCAGAGUCUGUUAGAAGUUGUCUAGAUUUUUUGAAACUGUGGCAGGACUCCUCUGAGCCUUCAAGAAAAACCCCCUGCAAUGCCGCUGAAAUUCUGUUGACUCAUGAAACCAGACACUGCAUGAGGAGGAGGAGCAUAACCCUGGCUGAUCCCAAUUUAAAAAUAAGGAAGAAUGAGUAUAACUUAAAACUUGGAAAUAUGACUUUAUUUGCCUUCUCUAAAAGAUUAAGAGUCUUUUUGGUAAAGUUGGCAUUAGAGUGAAGAAUGAACAGAAAAGUUAUAAAUACAUGAAAUAACUCAAUCUAGUCUUAAUUAACACCAUGAAAGUAAUUAUUCUUGUGGUCUGAGUGAUGUUUUGUGAUUGAGGAGCUGGGAUGGAAAGGCGGCAAAGCACUUUCCUAGGAACACAGAUAUUGCCAUACGGAAUCAGCCCAAUGAUCUGUGUAAUCCAGAUCCUGUCUCCACAAGUGGCCAGUACUAGCAGUCUACACCAGUCAGAAUAACCUGGAAUAAUAUGGAAUAGCCACAGGGGAAGUUCUUCAUAUCCCCCUAAUAAUUAAAGGUUGACUUAUGCCUGAAGCAUUAGGAUUAUGUCCCACUCUAAACUUCUUAGUGUCUUUUUUUUUUAAAUAAAUAUAGCCUUACUAUUGCAGCUCUGGAUGGUCUUAUUAGCCAUAAGAAUCUCCAGCUGUUUCUGGAACCCUUCUAAGCUUUUGACCUCAAUUAUACCUUAUGACAGUGAGUCCACAAGCUAAUUGUUCACUGCGAGAAGUAUUUCCUCCUAUCAGUUUUAAAUUUGCUACUUUUCAGUUUCACUAAAUGUCCCCAACUCAGUCUGACUCUGCUUAGGCUUCUGGAAAGAUCUCGUUCAAACUGGGUAUGCUCAAAGUCUUACCACAGAGUCACUCCCAUGCUCAAAUUUCAUAACUUUAUUUGCACGGCCACUUUGUCUAAUCCUAGCAACUUGAUAUAUAUCCUUACAGUCUGCCUGCUCCGUAUUUCAACAUCACAUAGUCUUUGCAAAGAGUGUUAUUGGUUUGAAAGAAAAGUUCCAACCCUGCAACUUUACAUGAACUGAAAUGAAUUUCAUAUGUGAUUAUGUCAAUAAAGGAAGCAGAUAUAACAGUUCUAAA